rnacentral:rRNA from 1 species
UGAGGAAUAUUGGACAAUGGGCGCAAGCCUGAUCCAGCCAUGCCGCGUGCAGGAUGACGGUCCUAUGGAUUGUAAACUGCUUUUGUACAGGAAGAAACAGUUCUACGUGUAGAACCUUGACGGUACUGUAAGAAUAAGGAUCGGCUAACUCCGUGCCAGCAGCCGCGGUAAUACGGAGGAUCCAAGCGUUAUCCGGAAUCAUUGGGCGUAAAGGGUGUCGAGGCGGUUGUAUUAGUCGUUCGUAAAAUCUACGAGCUUAACUUGUAGGCGGCGAACGAAACGGUACGACUUGAGGUUUGGAGAGGUGCGUGCAACUCACGGUGUAGGGGUGAAAUCCGUUGAUAUCGUGGGGAACACCAAAGGCGAAGGCAGCGCACUGGCCAAAAUCUGACGCUCACACACGAAAGCUAGGGUAGCGAAGAGGAUUAGAUACCCCCGUAGUCCCUGAGCGGGCUGGCAAGGCGCAU